rnacentral:rRNA from 1 species
UACGUAGGGGGCGAGCGUUGUCCGGAAUGACUGGGCGUAAAGGGCGUGUAGGCGGCGCUGUAAGUCUGGAGUGAAAGUCCAUUUUUCAAGGAUGGAAUUGCUUUGGAUACUGUAGUGCUUGAGUACAGCAGAGGUAAGCGGAAUUCCCGGUGUAGCGGUGAAAUGCGUAGAGAUCGGGAGGAACACCAGUGGCGAAGGCGGUUUACUGGGCUGAUACUGACGCUGAGGCGCGAAAGCGUGGGGAGCGAAC